CUGGGGGCAGCCAGGCAGGCAGAGCUGCUGCCGGGUGUGGGACGCUGAGGGCAGCGUGCAUGCAAAGGAUGGAUGGUUGCUAACCCUGCGUGAGUUGGAGGCUGUCACAAAGAGGACUCCCAUCUCUUGCUGCCAGCAGCUAAAAUCAAUACCAUUGCACAGAGGAUGUGAGGGAGGCUCCUGAAGCGGUGCGCUGCGGCCUCCAACAUCAAUCUGUCUCAUUGGACUCAAGUUAGCAGCUCGGUGCUGCCCGGGCAAACUGCUCAGCCAACAAAAGCCAUGCAUCAUUUCACCUGCAUCCCGCUUGGAUUCUGAGAAGGGACCUUUAAAGACCAUCUGGUCCCAUUCCACGCACUGGACAGGAACACCUGCAGGUGCUCAGAGGCCCCCAGCCAGACUGCAGGGAGAUCCUGGGGAUCCCUAUAGGAGAGCUGUGAACUUCAGCCUCAGGUAAUGGGGCAAAGCAGCGCCGUGCAGAUAUCCUGCCCACGUGGAGCAGCAUGCAGAAUUUGGCUACGUGUGUUUCUCCACUGCUCCAUCGCUCCCCAUCCCUGUGUCCACUGUCAGAUUUUGUGUCUCAGUUCCUACAGUUACAGAUUCAGGGACUGAAGGAAUAAUGGCUACUGGGACCCCAUCAGGAAAAAAAAAAAAAAGAAGUGCCGUAAGAUUUUUGGCCAUAAGAGGUUUAAGAACUUCCACAGCUGAACGAAUCAGCGUCCCCUAACUGACAGAGGAUAAUGGAUUUAAUAAAUAGCUAUGAUUA
ensembl:lncRNA